UAUCAGGCUAAUUUCAUGAUGUUUGAAGUGUCGCUUGACUAUUUCGAGUGGUUCUGAAAAGUGGCCCCAUGGGAACCGGUAUCCGGAACAUCCGGAGUGACCAUAUUUGGACAGGAUCUUGUCGAGGACACUAGAAAUAAGUUGUAGAGUAAAUAUAUUUCUGAUUCCACGAUGUUUGAAGUGUCACUUGACCAUUUUGAAUGAUUUUGAAAAAUUGCCCCACGGGAACCGGUAUCCGGAACAUCCGGGGUGGCCAUACUGUGAGCAGAUUAGGUUUUUUGGCAACAAUGAUACUUUUUUUUAUCAUAUUUGCUGUAAAUAUUGAGGAUUACAAUGAUGUUUCAAUCAGAUUUAUGACCAAGUUCUGCCUAGCUCCGAGAACUUCCAGAACCGGUAUCCGGAACAUCCGGUAUUGGUUCUACGUGACCGGAAGUUGAUCUGUGUGACUCAGAAGUGUUAAAAGAGCAAAAUUGGUUGAAAUUUAUGGGUUUCCCAAUUUUUUACAAUAGAUUAUCCUCGAUUUUUGACUCAGAGACAGCUAGUUUUGCCUCCCCUUAAAGGGGGAGGGGUCAGGGGGAUGGGUCAUCUCUUAAAAGAUGGCGCAACUAAUCCCCUUGAUUUUGCAACUUGAAGCACUCAAAUCGGUUGAAAACUGGCUGAGCUACAUCGAUUUUACUAAACAUAAAACGUCCUGGGUCUUUACGGGUUAAAUUAUUACUGAAUUUUGGUUGAUUCAACUGAAAAUUGCCCGUAACAAGUACGUUUUUGUUGAAAUUUACGAAAGUAAAAUCAACAAUUUUAAUUGUUAAAAUUUCUGGGCACAGUCUCUCCGUGUGGUAAAUUUGGUUCGAUUUUUAUUUAUUGGAGGUCAAAUAUUGGUCGAAUAUAGUUGGAUAGAGUCCCCAAGGCAUAUUCAUAAGAAGUUUGAGUGAUAUCAACAUGAAUUUUUGAACAAAUAUCCCAUAAAAUCGAAAAAUAAUCUUCAAAAAAAAAAAAAGUUGCACUAGACCCCCCGACGAAAUAUUUCGGUAUAUACCGCAAAAUGUCGGGAAAGAGCCCUUCUUUCACGGUGCCAAAUAUCAGACAUACCGAAUUUUUUAUCAUUAGUUUGUUCUAAAAAAUACACCGUGACAACCUCUUACAUUAAGUGAGGCAAUCCUUAAAAUCUAGAGUUUUUUUUGAUUAGGUCCUAUAAACAUAUGAAAGACAAUGGUUUAUUGGUCCUUUUCAAAAAAAACUCUGGAAAUGUCCUCUCUCAUUUGUACACGGAAACUAAAAUCAUGAUUGAAUUUGUAUGCAAACUGCAUAUAAACGAACUUUAAAUCAGCGUUAUGAAAUCUAUGACACAGCCUUAUGAACCUCAUUUGACCACAUAUAAUUAAUAACAAACAUCUCUAUAGAUUUUAUAUGCGAACUCCUCAUAACCGAGCUUGUUUUCUGCUUAUUACACAGUAUUUUCCUGACAAAUACAAUCCAUGAGCACCGCAUAUAAAAUGUAUGUUCACGAUACUAUAGAUUUUUGCAGUAUGCUUGUACACAUAACACUUAUGUGCAAUGCUCACAACAUUUAUGGGUGGUUGCUUGAAUGUGUGCAUAAUCCAAGCAUAACCGUUCAUUAUUAAACAAGAUGGCGAUAAAUUAAACAAACAUAGUUUUGCUUGCGGUUUUUCUUUAAUAUAAAUUGCAGUUUUGUUUUAAAAAUAAAAGUUUUCCAUAGUGAAAAAGGCUCGGAAAAAGGUACAUUUGAAAUCAUUGAACAUUUCAGCAAAGGUUUGCCAACUUUAAUAAUUGCUCGCAUGGCAAGAUUUGAUAUAAUUUCCUCUUUCGUCCAGCAUUUUCCAGCGUCCGGAAGCGCCGCACACAGUCCCGCUAACGCAUGAUGCUGGCAGAGACCGAGAAGCCGGGAGACCGGGAGAGCAACAGCCAGCAGAAGCGCUGAAGAAAGAGCAACAGGAAGUGGCCGCCGCAAACCCUCCUCCGUUCGUCCCACUUGCCCGCUUCCAGCUCGGCAUCCACGCUCGGUGAGAAAAAGGUUAGCGAAGAAGAUCAACAUGUGCGCCACCAUCAGCAAACCAACGUUCCGACCACCAACUCUUCCACCCCUGAUACACCCACGUCGAGGAGACCAUCGUGACGGACGACGAUGACCGCGAAAGAUCUGUUCAAAACGUCUCCCGGCCCACCCAUCGGUUGUCCGCCGGCAAACGACAUUCUGCCGGACUUGACAGGCUUUAGCUGGGCAGGAUCACAGGUGCCGCCGAGAACGCCAAGUAAACGUUCCGGGGAGGAGUUUGUAGCGAUUUGGAGAGGUUUGGAUGGCUUGUUGGAGAGCUUGCCAGGACCGACUCCGAAUAUGGAGAAGCAGUUUCGGGCUAAUCGAAAGAAAGUCAGCAACGAUGCCGCUAAGAUCCGGCCACGUGCAAAAAGAGGUUCCCGCAGUCGGACGUGAUUGUUUGUAAGAGAAUAUUAAUUAAAAAAAAAACAUGUAAAAUAAAACAAACGUUAGUUAGAAACACAACUUUGUGAUAAAUAUUGAAAGAAAAUUAAAACAGGAAUUUUGCAUUACUAAUACAACAUAAAAGUAAAAUUCAUUAUUAUUAAAAAGCAAAUGAGAACUAUAAUAAGAAUUAUGAAUUUUACACAUACAUGUUAUAAGUUGGUGCAUAUUCAAAUCUGUGUGCAUUGCAUAUACCGUUCAUGUGUCGUGCAUAUACAUUUUAUAUGCGUAAGCAUACUUCAAGUUCGUAUCCAUGUAUGUAUAGUGCUCAUACAGUUUAUAUGCAAGGCACACGCCGUUUAUGAGCAGAAGCAUUCUGCAAAAAUCUAUAUGUGAAACUAAUAGCAACAAUCAUGAUUUUAAUUUCAGUGUACCUUAUUUGACUCGUUGCUUUUUAAUAUUUGAGUGGAAUUUUGUACAACAUUCAAUUCUUUGUCUUUUGUUCUCAAUUUUAUUAUUAUCUCUAUACUGUCUACCUGAGUAAUUUGAUCUAUUUUCAACGUAAACAAUUUCAACUGCUUAUUCUUCUCUAAUUCAUUAUUUGAUCUAUAGCAACUGAAUCCAUUAACUGCAUCUAUCAACACUAUGUCUCUAUUAAGAAAAUUAGCUAAUGUCGACCACAAUCUUUCAUUAGGAAGUAGUUCUUCUUCAUCUACAUAAUGCAAUAUUUUCUUUAUAUUGUGACCAACCACCUUGGUAUGCCCACAUCGUCUCAUAAACCUUCCCUGAACACUCGGGUCAUUUGAAGAGGUCGACCACUUAGAAGAGCUAGAGUUAGGGUAGAUUUUCAACCAAGAAACGCAAAAUAAGCACAACAUUUGCAAAUAUAAUAAAUCUGCACCAAUUCGUCAAACAACAGUCGUUUUGAAUUUUAAAUAGCUAGAAAAAAGUAAUAGAAUGGCACAAGAGAUUUGCAUCACACAUCACAUUAGGCAUUGUUUUCAGUAGCGACAACUUGGCUACUCUUAUCAACACCCACGAAACGCAGAGAUGAACGCAACCUCGACUUCUGCGUGAUCUUCGAGGGCACUUCGGAGUCUGGACGGGAUCGACUCGUUCACUUGUGUGGAGGCUAGGACCGGCCGGCAUGGCCAGUCCUUUACGGCUGUGAUAUUUCGAUGAUGUGUUCUGUUUGGAUUCUGACUAUAGACUGUCUUUUAUUUUCUUGUAACUUACGUUUCUAGAGUCGGUUCUCUACCUGCUACCCGAGAACCGACUUCUAACCCUAAAUGUCGGCGGGAGUCCUAAUCCCACGGCGACGCUAGACGAACCGUAAUAAAACUUUAUUACGGUUACAUCCUGCAUUUCCAAGCCACAUGCUCAUGCGCAUCGUCUACACGCAUUAAGUGCGUGUAGCGAAGGACGAUACAAAACAGAGACCCAACGGUCGUCCUGUUUAGCAUGUAACUUGGGAAUGUAGUGGUGGUGAUUACCACAUCACUCACCCCUAUAAACAAAAAAAAAGUCUUUUACUUUUUUUUUACUUUGAUACCAAAUGUUGUUAAACGAAUCUGUUCUGAUUGUCUUCAAAAAGAAGAAGAAAGAUAGAAAAGACUCAGAGCAAGCCUUGAACAUAACUUGGCUCUGAAGUCCCCUCUCCCCCAUGAUUUUGGUUAAAAAAACUACAAAUAAUUGAGAUCCGAAAUCAUUUUCUUUAUCUGUACUGAGCCAUUUGUUUAUGAAGGUUUUGCCUCAACAAAAUAUCAUUUAACAUUUUAGGUCAGUUUUUUCUUGACUAGGACACCAUCGUGCGAAAGCUCAGGGACCUUUUAUUAUAAGGUGUGUCUGCAUUUUUGCCAGGAUUUUACCUGAUCGCACAACCCGCCUGUCGAAUACUACUAUCGUACAUUGACGAUUAGUUAAACAAAAUAAGGACAUUGGUCUUACGCAUUUUCAGGCGAGAUUUACUCGUCCAUGAUUUCAUGCCAUGCCUAAUUAUUAAUGAAAAAUUGAUUUCGGGAAACAAAACAAAAAAAAAAUGGUAAAACAUAAAGUUGCUUUUAAAGUACAACCAGAACGAUUACAUUUGUAACAAGAAUUUACUUGUGCUACUUGCUUCUAAAUUUUCAUAUUUAAUUGAAGACCAAUGCAAGAAUUGCUUUUUCUAACAAUAACUUUUAACAUCUAAAUGCAUUAUUUUUUUGUUUUAUACUGAACUAUUCAAACAUUGAUGUGAACAUAAAAUACCUAAAAUGCAUAGAAUUUCUUUUGCUUUUUUUUAGUCUUCGUAGUUUGUUUUAGAACUGCUACAAAAAAUAACGCGGUUUUCAUUUUGCCACAAUUUUUGUUUCUUUUUUAAACUGCAUUUUUCUUCGCUUAGGCGUUUCGAACCAUUUAUUUGUUUGUUAAGAAUUUGGAUUCAAUAAUUGAUUUGAUAAUAAACAAUGAUUGCAUUCUACUUGACGCUAUUACGGUUGUCAAAUUAACCAAUGUUUAAAUUUUUCGAAGCACUUUUUUUUACAAUUGUAGCUAAUACCUUCUCAUUUUUUUAACACUUUAUUUGAUCAUCCUAUCUUUUUCUUGAUAACAACUUUUUGACAAAAAAAAACGCAUGUACUUUGAAAGUAUAAUUAGAACUGUUACAAAUAAUAUGAAACUAAACGUUCUAGUUAUAAUUGUUAACGUAUCUAUUACGCACUGAUUCUGAAGUUGUCCGUACUGACCAGUUUUUGAUCGAUGAUUUGACGCCAGACGAUGUUGUGAUCUUUCUGCGAUGAUUAAUUAGAGUUGCUGGUACUUAACUAGAUGGUUGACCUGCUGCACGAUCCUCUGACAUUGUGCUUGGUCCAAGGCUGCCUCUUGAUUUUAUACAUCAUUCACUUGGUACGAUCGCCGACGGUUGUAGCAACACGAACAUCUCCUUGCUGGACUGCGACUUGUUUUUGCACGUAACGAUCUUCUCUAAGCAUCAUUUUGGUUAAUGCCAACACCAACAUUUUUUUUUUUCACGAAACACGAUUCCCAAUUCAGAUUUUCACUUCCGCCGAACAAUGAUGAAGAAAGCAUACACUGUUUCUUUUGAAUGCACUAAUUGUUUAAAUGUUUUCUAAAUUGUUCAUUUGUUUAACACAUCUUCACUCAACAAUAAUGAUUGUUUCCUGAACAGCCGUUGCCUCAGUUUUUUUUUUAGAUUUUUCUCUUUGCGACUUUUAAAAUCGCUUUUCACAUUUACCGCUGCCACCAAUGUGGAGGCUAGGACCGGCCGGCAUGGCCAGUCCUUUACGGCUGUGAUAUUUCGAUGAUGUGUUCUGUUUGGAUUCUGACUAUAGACUGUCUUUUAUUUUCUUGUAACUUACGUUUCUAGAGUCGGUUCUCUACCUGCUACCCGAGAACCGACUUCUAACCCUAAAUGUCGGCGGGAGUCCUAAUCCCACGGCGACGCUAGACGAACCGUAAUAAAACUUUAUUACGGUUACAUCCUGCAUUUCCAAGCCACAUGCUCAUGCGCAUCGUCUACACGCAUUAAGUGCGUGUAGCGAAGGACGAUACAAAACAGAGACCCAACGGUCGUCCUGUUUAGCAUGUAACUUGGGAAUGUAGUGGUGGUGAUUACCACACUUGCUUGAGCACCAGAAAGGAGUUCACACGCUCACGAAGAUCUAACACCAGUGAGUAGAACCGCGAUUUGAGAAUCUCCCACGAGGUCGAGGAAGCCCCGAAAGCCACCGUCUACGGCUGAGGGAUUGCGCGAUCGUACGGCCAUCCGUAACCUGGCCAAGUCCCGCGAGUUUAGUGUUCGACCAGCACGUUAAUUACCCUGGAUUGCCCCUUGGCAAGUGUUCCUGCUAGCCACGAGCUAAGCAUCGCUGGGCUCCGUUACACAUAGCCACCGCCACGAACCGCACCGGAGUGUGCCUGGACGUGCACGACAACCACGCACGGUCCAUCGAACGUCCCGGAUCGGCUACUACGGGUACGGAAGCGAGUACGAGAGACGCCGUGUCACGAGGUUCCGGACGGGAACGUGACUUCGGCGAAGACUACGGUGUUCCACGCCGGAACGCUGGAAGUCCUGCAACACGAGGAGGAGACGGCAGGCAACGAGAGGUCCCAGGUCGAGGACGGGGACGGAGCGUGGACGAGAUCCGACCACCCACGCGUCGGGGGAUGCACCAGAUCCCGAUGUCCACGAGCGACGCCGAGAGUAGCUGAUCAGCGGGCCCAUACACUGACACCACACAAGUAAGUCCGGUUAGGUAGCGUAGGGAGUAGGUUGUUAGGGCGGAUUCUCAAAUAAACGUGCCAUGAAAACGUAGA